rnacentral:rRNA from 1 species
GGUUCAGGACGAACGCUGGCGGCGUGCCUAACACAUGCAAGUCGAACGGACGAGGGGAGGCUUGCUCCCCAACGUUAGUGGCGGACGGGUGAGUAACACGUGAGCAACCUGCCCUUCGGAGGGGGACGAACAGUUGGAAACGACUGCUAAUACCGCAUAACGUAUUUUUGGAGGCAUCUCCGGGAUACCAAAGAUUUAUCGCCGAAGGAUGGGCUCGCGUCUGAUUAGAUAGUUGGUGGGGCAACGGCCUACCAAGUCGACGAUCAGUAGCCGGACUGAGAGGUUGAACGGCCACAUUGGGACUGAGAUACGGCCCAGACUCCUACGGGAGGGCAGCAGUGGGGAAUAUUGGGCAAUUAGGGGGGCGAACCCUGACCCAGCAACGCCGCGUGGAGGAAGAAGGCUUUCGGGUUGUAAACUCCUUUGACGAGGGACGAAGAUGACGGUACCUCGAAAACAAGCCACGGCUAACUACGUGCCAGCAGCCGC